AUGCCGCGGGAAGUCCCCCGAUGGGGACAGCCACAUACCUUUGCUCUCCAUUUCGGUCCCUUUCGAGUGCUGGGAAGUUCAAUGGAAGUUGGCCGGAAGAUGCGGGCCCGCUUCAGAUUCCCAAACCCGGGAAGCCAAUCUGAUGAUUUCGCCCGUACUUCCUUUCUUCCCCUCAGGCUUCCUGAAAGAUGGGAUUUCUUAAACCUUGAAACUGCAAUCAGCCACCAAAGGACACUUAGCAGCAGCAGCAGAUUGCCUCUACAGGGGAGAGGUUGCGACCUGGUAUUCAUAUGCAUGCACGGAGCCCGCUCAGCUUGUUUGCUUUUUUACCUGGGUCUGGAAGCAGCAAGCAGGAGCUGUCCUCGGAACGUGGUGCUGCAGGUGUAGUGACAGAUCAUCCCACUUUGCUCUCUGGAUGGACAGCAGAUUUGCAUGGGCGCUGGCACGCAUGCGCAGGGCGUCCCCCCUCCCCUUUUCGCCGCCUCCCGCUCCCCCGCCCUUCUUUGCUUCUCUCCCCAAUACGGUCCUUAGUUAUCCCCGCUGAAGAGCUGUAGCGUUCGGUCACAGGGAGCGCUGCUAAAAAUAAACGCUGGACCGGAUUUUCCUUUGCAAACUAGCAAAUGGAUUGGAUUGGGAUUGUGUAUCAAUCCAAUACGAUUUUCCAGACGGGAUUGCGGAAGCCUUAGAGGAAACCGCGGUCUCCGAGCUGGGUAUGGUUUUAUUCAGAAGCAGAAAGGAGGAAAGAGGAGUGUAUUUGCGAAAACCGUGUAAUGGUCACAAUUUGGGGUUCUCUUCCUAGUUGCUGCAGUAANNNNNNNNNNNNNNNNNNNNNNNNNNNNNNNNNNNNNNNNNNNNNNNNNNNNNNNNNNNNNNNNNNNNNNNNNNNNNNNNNNNNNNNNNNNNNNNNNNNACAAUUUGGGGUUCUCUUCCUAGUUGCUGCAGUAACUUUCCAGGUGUAUGCCUCCUCUUCUAACCACUUCCCCCACUGACUUUACGGUUCUGUUUGUAUUUCCAUAUCUGUUUCGUUUUUUCUUCCGGUAUAGAGUGGGAGUAGCCCUGGACCUACCAAAGAUUAAUAUUCGCCUGCUGCUUUGCUACUCAGACUGAAUUUUCUUGCCUCCCUGAUAUCCCUUUGGCCUCCAACUCAAAACUGUUCCAUGAACAGGCUACAGGGCUUCUAAAUUCUCCGAACAAAGACACUGAGAACAUCCUGGGGGUGCUUUUUAGCUUCUUUCCAACAGUCUACCAAGAUGCAGAGAGACAUCUUGGCAAGGGUAGAGAGGCCCUUUAUUGAUACGAAGCUGUGUACAUAAUCAUUUUUAUAAAGAUGAAGAAGAAAAAUAUUUUUCUUGUAUAAGGUACUAGAGAAGGGUUCAAAGCCAAAAAUACUUUAUAGUGCUCUUUUCAUAGAAUAUUUUUAAAGCCCAUACUAUGAUCAGUUUAUCUGCAACCUGUGUAAUAGGGCAAUAUUUACUACCUUUUUCUUUUUCAAUAGUCCAGAUUCUCCUGAGAGAUAACUCUCUCUUUGAGAAUAAUAGUCUUCUAUUCUCAGACAUGAAAAUAAACCUAGAAAACUAGUAUAUAGAAUGGCUAAGGGAGGAGCUGUGCAGGUUAAUCCCAUAUCCCCGGUUACACAAAGACCCCUCCACAGUAAACUUCUAAUCCCAAUUUUCAAAACAUUGAAAUACAAUAAAAUAUACUGCCAACAAGAAACCUGAGUUAGACUAUAAUUCUGUCUUCCUCUGGUGAUUCAAAGGGCAUCCUGAGAUUUCUCCAGUGCCUUCGGGCCAUGAUUACAAAUAUUAAUCAUAAUGGCUCAGCCAGACAUGGACAUCCUUGUGGAGGAGACCUGUUGAUAACUGCCAUGGCUCAGCAAAGCCUGCCUCCAUUCAGCACUGGAGAAUCAAAACACUUGAGCAUGGGAUUACAGGUUACAUCCUAGGAUCUACCAAGCUUUAGGCUCUCUUAUUGCAUGCCCAAGAAAAUAUUUGGGGGGGGGGGAAUCACAAAACUCAGUAUUUGUUUACAUUUUGAUAGAUUUUUGAAGUAGGCUAUAGUGAGAGUAGAUCCUUAAGAAUAAUAGAAAAGUAGAUCCUUAAUAAUAAUGUCUUUGGGAUAAAUAAUUCCUGCUCCUAACACUACACCCAUUACAUGUUCUUUUCCUCUCAGAACUUUUAGAAAAGGAGAUAGAGUCCAUCUGUGCACACCUGUAAUAUUUAUUAUUUUACGAAUGGAGAGGCAAGGAGGGCACUUGACAAGACUCAUGUAGUGGAGCAGAACCAGACUCAAAAUCUAAGAGUUCUGGUAGCAACUCCAAGAUGAUUUCUUACAUAACCACAUCCCCACUAUCUACAGUGAAUGGGAAUGGGGAGAACUUCUGAUUUCAUAAAUUUUCAUUAUUUUUACUCAUAAUUUCAAAAACCCAAAUGCUUCAAAAUGCAAAAUCCAUGGUAUGACAUUCAAGACCUUUCUAUUACCUGGAUCCAAACUACCUUUCAGGUCUUCUCCAAGAUUAAUUCCUACACAACACUUGCCGUUCAGUUCAGGUCAGUUCAGUCACUCAGUCGUGUCUGACUCUCUGCGACCCCAUGAACUGC
rnacentral:lncRNA from 1 species